AAGGGGAGUGAAAGAGAUCCUGAAACCGUGUGCCUACAAGAUGUCGGAGCCCGUUAAUGGGUGACGGCGUGCCUUUUGUAGAAUGAACCGGCGAGUUGCGAUCGUAUGCAAGGUUAAGCGGUAGAACGCGGAGCCGAAGCGAAAGCGAGUCUGAAUAGGGCGCGUGAGUAUGCGGUCGCAGACCCGAAACCGCGUGAUCUACCCAUGUCCAGGGUGAAGGCAGGGUAACACCUGCUGAAGGCCCGAAC
rnacentral:rRNA from 1 species